rnacentral:sRNA from 1 species
GCUCAAAUGAUGUUAACAAUAUCAUAGUGAUAGUUCUCACCACUCCCUCCAUUCUUAGCUGAUUCCAUUUGGCACAGGAAAUAACCCACUUGUCAUCCCUGUGGUGCAAAGCUCAUCAUGAAUGUGUGGCCCCAUCUCAGACAAAAAGCAGGUCCUAGAGCCAUGAAGGUGUGAAGGGGAUGCUUUCUUUGCCUCCUGCAAAACUAGAAACCAGCAGAGGCUUCUCCCAUCUUUGUGAUCUGUAUGGGGCCGGGCUUUGUAAGCAGACAUCUUCCCAGGAAUUAACACAACAUUUCUGUUCCCUUUCUCCACUCCAGCUGACUCUAAAGAAGAUGCAGUUAAUUGGCUCUCUGGCUUGAAAAUCUUACACCAAGAAGCGAUGAAUGCGUCCACACCCACCAUUAUCGAGAGUUGGCUGAGAAAGCAGAUAUAUUCUGUGGAUCAAACCAGAAGAAACAGGUAAAAGUCAUUUAGUUUUCUUCUGAUCACUUUGGAUUUUGAUCUUCAUUCUUUCUUUAAACCUUCCAAGGGGGUGGGAGCAUGACCUGUUGGGGGCAAGGUCCUC